AUGAAGAAGUACAAAGACCACCUCGCCUUGCUGUAUAAGGCGCACGAGAAACUCAAGGAUGAACUGAAUGCGGUGCUGAACCACCCACUAAUGCCGUCAGAAUUUGAAUGAGCAUGGAAGAACCUCGUUCAGAGAUACAACUUGCAAGACGACGAAGUGAUGAAUUCGCUGUGGGAUGACAAGCACGAAUGGAUCUCGACUUACUACAAGAAAAUUUUCUGUUCUUAGAUGACUUCCACACAGAGAAGCGAGAGCAUGAACCGCAUAUUGAAGAAAUUUUUUGUCAAGGAGAAGCAUGAUCUCCAUCUAUUUGCUCAGGAGCUAGACAAGUGCAUUCAGACCAGGAAGGCCGUCGAGCACGCAGAGACAGUAGCAAAUGAGUCAGAGGUAAAAACAACAACCAAGUUUGGGUUCAAAGUUCAGCUAUCAAAAGUGUAUACAAGGGCAGUGUUUGCAGAUUUCAAAGAAACACUCUACCGUAGCACUGCAUUCAGAGCAGAACGGUGCCCUGAGAACCCGACAAAGUAUCUCGUACACCUCUACAACAGAUCGGAUGCAUUUGACUGGGCAAGGCAUAAUUUCCUAGUGGUCGCCGAUGAAAAGAAAGGUGUCUACGAAUGUGAGUGCAAACUCCGGACACACACAGGGCUCUUUUGCGUCCAUGUGUUAUGCAUGCUUUCUCAUUUGAGAGUACUCAAGAUUCCUGAGGUGUACAUCAUGAAAAGAUACACCCGUAACGCAAGAUCAGAUGCAACAUUUGACAGAAGAGACUACAAACAAACAACACCAGAUGGAACCUUGCUUUUUUGCCAUAGAAAAUUGCUAACAGAAAUAGCAAUGGACCUUGCAAAUAGAGCGACAAGGUCUGAUGCUGGGUGCCACAGAGCGUUGUCUGGUAUGAGGGCACUAAUCGAGGAAGUUGACAUGCUCAACGAAGAAGAAGAAGAAGAAGAAGAAGAAGAAGAAGAACAACAACAACAAGAAGAAGAAGAAGAAGAAGAAGAAGAAGAAGAAGAAGAAGAAGAAGAAGAAGAAGAAGAAGAAGAAGAAGAAGAAGAAGAAGAAGAAGAAGAAGAAGAAGAAGAAGAAGAAGAAGCAAAACUAAAGCAAGCAGAGAAAUCCCAGCAUGACAAUAAUGCCGACCAUGUAGAAAAUACUAAACACAACCGAACUGGUGCUAUCAAAAAAGAAACAAUUCUUCCACCUCCUGUUUCAAACACAAGAGGAAGGAAGAAAGGGGGCGACACAACCCAGAAAAAGGUUGCAUGCAAGGAGAAAAAUGAUGACAAAAACAGUAAGCCACAACCUGAGCUGGACAGUGAUGGUCACCCACUGGGAAUAAGAAGGUGCAAAACAUGUAAUGAAAUCAGCGGCCACAAUUCCAGGACAUGUACAAAAAGAAAUGAACAAGAAAAAUGA
rnacentral:rRNA from 1 species